rnacentral:rRNA from 1 species
UUGGAGGGCAAGUCUGGUGCCAGCAGCCGCGGUAAUUCCAGCUCCAAUAGCGUAUAUUAAAGUUGUUGCAGUUAAAAAGCUCGUAGUUGAAUUUCGGGGUUAGUAGAUUGGUCAUGCCUCUGGUAUGUACUGGUCCCACUGAUUCCUCCUUCCUGAUGAUCCGUAAUACCAUUAAUUUGGUGUUGCGGGGAAUUUGGACAGUUACUUUGAAAAAAUUAGAGUGUUUAAAGCAAGCUAACGCUUGAAUACAUUAGCAUGGAAUAAUGAAAUAGGACGUUCGAUCCUAUUUUGUUGGUCUCUAGGAUUGACGUAAUGAUUAAUAGGGAUAGUUGGGGGCAUUAGUAUUCAAUUGUCAGAGGUGAAAUUCUUGGAUUUAUUGAAGACUAACUACUGCGAAAGCAUUUGCCAAGGAUGUUUUCAUUAAUCAAGAACGAAAGUUAGGGGAUCGAAGACGAUCAGAUACCGUCGUAGUCUUAACCAUAAACUAUGCCGACUAGGGAUCGGAUGAUGUUAAUUUUUUAAUGACUCAUUCGGCGCCUUACGGGAAACCAAAGUGUUUGGGUUC